rnacentral:rRNA from 1 species
GACGAACGCUGGCGGCGUGCCUAAUACAUGCAAGUAGAACGCUGAAGCUUGGUGCUUGCACCGAGCGGAUGAGUUGCGAACGGGUGAGUAACGCGUAGGUAACCUGCCUGGUAGCGGGGGAUAACUAUUGGAAACGAUAGCUAAUACCGCAUAAUAGUAGAUGUUGCAUGACAUUUGCUUAAAAGGUGCAAUUGCAUCACUACCAGAUGGACCUGCGUUGUAGUAGCUAGUUGGUGAGGUAACGGCUCACCAAGGCAACGAUACAUAGCCGACCGGAGAGGGUGAUCGGCCACACUGGGACUGAGACACGGCCCAGACUCCUACGGGAGGCAGCAGUAGGGAAUCUUCGGCAAUGGACGGAAGUCUGACCGAGCAACGCCGCGUGAGUGAAGAAGGUUUUCGGAUCGUAAAGCUCUGUUGUAAGAGAAGAACGAGUGUGAGAGUGGAAAGUUCACACUGUGACGGUAUCUUACCAGAAAGGGACGGCUAACUACGUG